rnacentral:rRNA from 1 species
CCGAGUUUACAACUCCCAAACCCCUGUGAACAUACCACUUGUUGCCUCGGCGGAUCAGCCCGCUCCCGGUAAAACGGGACGGCCCGCCAGAGGACCCCUAAACUCUGUUUCUAUAUGUAACUUCUGAGUAAAACCAUAAAUAAAUCAAAACUUUCAACAACGGAUCUCUUGGUUCUGGCAUCGAUGAAGAACGCAGCAAAAUGCGAUAAGUAAUGUGAAUUGCAGAAUUCAGUGAAUCAUCGAAUCUUUGAACGCACAUUGCGCCCGCCAGUAUUCUGGCGGGCAUGCCUGUUCGAGCGUCAUUUCAACCCUCAAGCACAGCUUGGUGUUGGGACUCGCGUUAAUUCGCGUUCCUCAAAUUGAUUGGCGGUCACGUCGAGCUUCCAUAGCGUAGUAGUAAAACCCUCGUUACUGGUAAUCGUCGCGGCCACGCCGUUAAACCCCCAACUUCUGAAUGUUGACCUCGGAUCAGUAGGAAUACCCGCUGAACUUAAGCAUA